UACGUAGGGGGCAAGCGUUGUCCGGAAUUAUUGGGCGUAAAGAGCGCGUAGGCGGUCCGAUAAGUCGACUGUGAAAGUCUAGGGCUCAACCCUGGAAAGCCGGUCGAUACUGUCGGACUAGAGUCCGGAAGAGGCAAGUGGAAUUCCCGGGGUAGCGGUGAAAUGCGCAGAUAGUCGGGAGGAACACCAAUUGCGAAGGCAGCUUGCUGGGACGGUACUGACGCU
rnacentral:rRNA from 1 species